ensembl:lncRNA
AGCUGAGCUCAGCAGAUGUGGGUGGGGGUCACCAUUGGGAUUCUGAUCUGCUACGAUGGGUCACUGGAGUCAUACAACUUCUUUAUCUCAAUAAAUCGCAUUCAGUUCUUUCAAGUGAUCUCCUCUUAUUCAAAUUCUUUCACUAGACCCACAAAGGAUUCCUUAACCUAGUUUCAACAGUUCCUUCCUACAGUUUCAUAGCUCACAUCCAUCCAUGCUAUAUGUGCUAUAUAAAUGUAAAAUGUAAUCUUUAGAAGGAGACAUGUGCAUUAAUAUUAUUAUGGUAUGUGCACACAUCAGUUAAACAUGGGGUAGUUGGUUGCAUGCCUGUUGUCCACAAGAGUCCAUAGUCUGGGUGAAAUACUGUAGAGGCCUUGUGAACAACAGGCUUGUUGACCUGCUUGCUGUCUUUCACUGGUCAAAGACCACGUCUACCUGUUCUCUUUACAUCAUGCUAAGUUAGAGGUGUUUAUAAUUAAUCAUAAAUGUGUAACUGUUGCUUUUUAAGAAAGAAAGAACUACUUAGCCCUGUUUGCUUUGACCUUACAACCGAGUGCUUUUUUUGUUUUAUUAUUUUUAAAUUUUUUUAUUAUUUUUGGUGUCUGUCUGAAAUCCCAGUGAUUUUUGAUUAGUAUUUAUCCAGCAACCUCCAAAAUAUCCUAAAAUGUUGUGUGUUCAUGUACCUAACCUGAUGUUGACGGUUGUUUCAGUUUUGCUCCAUAAAGCUGCAAACUUGGAUAUUUAAUCAUGCACAACAUGAAGGUCAAAUUUUCUUUCUUAUGACUCUAUUAGCUUUAGUGUGUGUAUAAAGAAACACAAAGAGCUAAGAGACCGAGAAAAGAUAUUUAACCAUCAUGUUUCAUCAUGUUUCUUCAUCAAGCAUCUGCUAGUAAUGAAUCAUACCCCAUUGAGUGGCAGUGCCCAGUGACAGCACGUCAUUACUGGGCGGGUCAUACAGUCUACGAGUGCUUAAACACAUGAUUGGAACAGCAGCCAGUUUGAACCUUGUCCAUACAUGUAAGAC